rnacentral:misc_RNA from 1 species
UUUUACCCAAAUAUGCGUUAGGGAUAGGAGCGGUAUCUCCCGAUUUAGAAAAACAAGGCUUUUUAGCCGUAGUUUUUGUUAAUCGGGAAUUUAGCGGAUAGCCCGGCCGAAG